AUUUGCGGAAGUUUUCGGAUGGAAGCGGAUGCGACUUAGCGGCGGACGGGUGAGUAACGCGUGGGUAACCUGCCUCAUACAGGGGGAUAACAGUUAGAAAUGACUGCUAAUACCGCAUAAGCGCACAGGACCGCAUGGUCCGGUGUGAAAAACUCCGGUGGUAUGAGAUGGACCCGCGUCUGAUUAGCUGGUUGGCGGGGUAACGGCCCACCAAGGCGACGAUCAGUAGCCGACCUGAGAGGGUGGCCGGCCACAUUGGGACUGAGACACGGCCCAAACUCCUACGGGAGGCAGCAGUGGGGAAUAUUGCACAAUGGGGGAAACCCUGAUGCAGCAACGCCGCGUGAGUGAAGAAGUAUUUCGGUAUGUAAAGCUCUAUCAGCAGGGAAGAAAAAAGACGGUACCUGACUAAGAAGCCCCGGCUAACUACGUGCCGGCAGCCGCGGUAAUACGUAGGGGGCAAGCGUUAUCCGGAUUUACUGGGUGUAAAGGGAGCGUAGACGGCAUAGCAAGUCUGAAGUGAAAGCCCGUGGCUCAACCGCGGAACUGCUUUGGAAACUGUUAAGCUGGAGUACUGGAGAGGCAAGCGGAAUUCCUAGUGUAGCGGUGAAAUGCGUAGAUAUUAGGAGGAACACCAGUGGCGAAGGCGGCUUGCUGGACAGAGACUGACGUUGAGGCUCGAAAGCGUGGGGAGCAAACAGGAUUAGAUACCCUGGUAGUCCACGCGGUAAACGAUGAAUGCUAGGUGUUGGCGGGCAAAGCCCGUCGGUGCCGCCGCAAACGCAUUAAGCAUUCCACCUGGGGAGUACGUUCGCAAGAAUGAGACUCAAAGGAAUUGACGGGGACCCGCACAAGCGGUGGAGCAUGUGGUUUAAU
rnacentral:rRNA from 1 species